AUUGAACGCUGGCGGCAGGCCUAACACAUGCAAGUCGAGCGAGCGGCGGACGGGUGAGUAAUGUAUGGGGACUGCCCGCUAGAGGGGGAUAACUACAGUAAACGGUAGCUAAUACCGCAUACUAUCGGAUAACCCAUAUGGGAUUAGCUAGUAGGUGAGGUAAUGGCUCACCUAGGCGACGCUCCCUCGCUGGUCUGAGAGGAUGAUCAGCAACACUGGGACUGAGAAACGGCCCAGACUCUGACGGAGGAAGCAGUGGGGAAUAUUGCACAAGGGGCGCAAGCCUGAUGCAGCCAUGCCGCGUGUAGGAAGAAGGCCUUAGGGUUGUAAAGUACUUUCAGUCGGGAGGCGUUACCGACAGAAGAAGCACCGGCUAACUCCGUGCCAGCAGCCGCGGUAAUAC
rnacentral:rRNA from 1 species